GAUGAACGCUGGCGGCGUGCCUAAUACAUGCAAGUCGAGCGAACAGAUGAGGAGCUUGCUCCUCUGACGUUAGCGGCGGACGGGUGAGUAACACGUGGAUAACCUACCUAUAAGACUGGGAUAACUUCGGGAAACCGGAGCUAAUACCGGAUCAUAUAUUGAACCGCAUGGUUCAAUAGUGAAAGACGGUUUUGCUCUCACUUUUAGAUGGAUCCGCGCCGCAUUAGCUAGUUGGUAAGGUAACGGCUUACCAAGGCGACGAUGCGUAGCCGACCUGAGAGGGUGAUCAGCCACACUGGAACUGAGACACGGUCCAGACUCCUACGGGAGGCAGCAGUGGGGAAUCUUCCGCAAUGGGCGAAAGCCUGAUGGAGCAACGCCGCGUGAGUGAUGAAGGUCUUCGGAUCGUAAAACUCUGUUAGUAGGGAAGAAAAAAAGUGUAAGUAACUAUGCACGUGUUGACGGUACCUGAACAGAAAGCCACGGCUAACUACGUG
rnacentral:rRNA from 1 species